GGAGAAUGCAAAGAAGAUGGAAGGGGGGCUGGAGCCUGGGGAGGCAAACUGUGUGACAACAGCCAUCAAAUGAAGGAAAGAGAAACAGCGAAGGUAAAGAAAGAAAGAGCAAACAGGGUGCUCUCCACUUUACAGAAGAAGGCACACUUGCUCAAUUGUUCUUUCACUUCCCAUAGGAUGAUGAACAGGGAAUAUGGUGCCAAUGAAAUAAUAAAUGGAUACAACAUGUCUGGAGAUCUUCCGGAGCAAGGUUGUGUAACACUGAGAAAUAUUAUUGGUUUACAUUUACAUUCCCAGAAUUUCUGAAAUGGUUAUUUGGUCUUCAGUGCAUCUACUGAUGAAGACUGAAGUAUGAACUGUGUUAUCGGUGGUUCCACACACUCUUAUUUUGUGGAAAGACUUGCACUUCAUUUGAAAACAAACAGUACAAACCCAAAAUAAAAUAAAAAAAAAUACACUCCCCAAAAUACCAAGACAACUGCAGCAGCACCUGCACUAACCAUUGUGCACAGGUCCCUCAGAGCUAAGCAUUCAUUGGAGCCAUGGCUUAUUUUUACCAACUCUCAGCUACUGUGGUUACAACAGUAUUCAGACUGAUUGUCAUUCACUGAAUUAUCAGACACUGCCUGUGUUGAAACUGCUGUUCAGGAAGGCUUACAGAAACAGAGCAUUGUAUGACACUAGGUACAGGUCCUUACAUGUCCAAGAAGAUGGAGAGGAACACUCAGCCUUCACAAGACAGUGUGGAAUUGACUUAGCUGGGCUUUAUAGCAAUUUUGACUCCCUAGAAGUCAUGAAAGUCAAAUGCGAUGAAGCACCUGAAGAAAUGCUGGAGUAUUUGGUUCAGUCUGGUUCUUUGAAGAAAAUAUAAAUAAAGAUCUACACAGAACAUCUUCUUUGAGGUCCUGCUUCCUUCAGGUUAGCAGUGCUAUCGAGGGUGACCCUUUUCAGGGGGAGAACAUAGCAAUUCUGUUUCUCAGGAGAGGGGACU
rnacentral:lncRNA from 1 species